GAUGAACGCUGGCGGCGUGCCUAAUACAUGCAAGUCGAGCGAAUGGAUUGAGAGCUUGCUCUUAUGAAGUUAGCGGCGGACGGGUGAGUAACACGUGGGUAACCUGCCCAUAAGACUGGGAUAACUCCGGGAAACCGGGGCUAAUACCGGAUAACAUUUUUAACCGCAUGGUUACAAAUUGAAAGGCGGCUUCGGCUGUCACUUAUGGAUGGACCCGCGUCGCAUUAGCUAGUUGGUGAGGUAACGGCUCACCAAGGCAACGAUGCGUAGCCGACCUGAGAGGGUGAUCGGCCACACUGGGACUGAGACACGGCCCAGACUCCUACGGGAGGCAGCAGUAGGGAAUCUUCCGCAAUGGACGAAAGUCUGACGGAGCAACGCCGUGUGAGUGAUGAAGGCUUUCGGGUCGUAAAACUCUGUUGUUAGGGAAGAACAAGUGCUAGUUGAAUAAGCUGGCACCUUGACGGUACCUAACCAGAAAGCCACGGCUAACUACGUGCCAGCCGCCGCGGUAA
rnacentral:rRNA from 1 species